AACGUAGGAGACAAACGUUAUCCGGAGUUACUGGGCGUAAAGGGCUCGUAGGUGGCCAACUAAGUCAGACGUGAAAUCCCUCGGCUUAACCGGGGAACUGCGUCUGAUACUGGAUGGCUUGAGUUUGGGAGAGGGACGCGGAAUUCCAGGUGUAGCGGUGAAAUGCGUAGAUAUCUGGAGGAACACCGGUGGCGAAGGCGGCGUCCUGGACCAACACUGACACUGAGGAGCGAAAGCCAGGGGAGCAAACGGG
rnacentral:rRNA from 1 species